AUUUCCUGUGCCACAGAGGACACCUUCGCAUUAGUGAGUGCAUAAGAAACAGGGAACCGGUUAGAUGGAUUGCUGCUCUCCCUCCCCUCACUGGAAGGAAAAAUAACCAGAGAUAUGAUAAUGAUGGUAAAGGCUGUAACUAUAGCAAUACGAACCUGUCAUCCCAGAGAAGCAC